CCUACGGGAGGCAGCAGUGGGGAAUAUUGGGCAAUGGGCGCAAGCCUGACCCAGCAACGCCGCGUGAAGGAAGAAGGCUUUCGGGUUGUAAACUUCUUUUGACAGGGAAGAGCAGAAGACGGUACCUGUCGAAUAAGCCACGGCUAACUACGUGCCAGCAGCCGCGGUAAUACGUAGGUGGCAAGCGUUGUCCGGAUUUACUGGGUGUAAAGGGGGCGCAGACGGCGAUGCAAGCCAGGAGUGAAAGCCAGGGGCCCAACCCCGGGACUGCUCUUGGAACUGCGUGGCUAGAGUGCAGGAGGGGCAGGCGGAAUUCCUGGUGUAGCGGUGAAAUGCGUAGAUAUCACGCAGAACCCCGAUUGCGAAGGCAGCCUUCCGGCGCCCUACUGACGCUGAGGCACGAAAGUGCGGGGAUCGAACAGGAUUAGAUACCCCAGUAGUC
rnacentral:rRNA from 1 species